rnacentral:rRNA from 1 species
GAUGAACGCUGGCGGCGUGCUUAACACAUGCAAGUCGAGCGAAGCGCUUUACUUUGAUUUCUUCGGAUUGAAAAGUGCUGCGACUGAGCGGCGGACGGGUGAGUAACGCGUGGGCAACCUGCCUCAUACAGGGGGAUAACAGUUAGAAAUGACUGCUAAUACCGCAUAAGACCACAGUACCGCAUGGUAUGGUGGUAAAAACUCCGGUGGUAUGAGAUGGGCCCCGCGUCUGAUUAGGUAGUUGGUGGGGUAACGGCCUACCAAGCCGACGAUCAGUAGCCGACCUGAGAGGGUGACCGGGCCACAUUGGGGACUGAGACACGGGCCCAAACUCCUACGGGAGGCAGCAGUGGGGAAUAUUGCACAAUGGGGGGAAACCCCUGGGUGCAGCGACGCCGCGUGAAGGAAGAAGUAUCUCGGGUAU